rnacentral:lncRNA from 1 species
ACGUUUGUCCAUACCGGAGACCUUAUGAAUGAUGAAAUUAUUGGUUAUUAAGAUUAAAAAAAUAGUAAAAAUUAGUUGAAAUAUAUAUGGUACAAUUUUUUAUAAGUUUGAAAAAGUUUAAUAACAUGCACGUUUAUCCAUACCGGAGACCUAGUUUGGUAUAAAUUGUUUUUGAUAUUAUUUUCAAUUGCUUAAUUUUCGGUUUAAUUUUUCUAUACUUUUUCUUAAUUAGAGAAAUAUGAAAAUUAAAAGAAUUACACAUAAUUUUUACUCAAAAAAAUAAUUAAUUUUG